rnacentral:rRNA from 1 species
UCUGGGACAAGCCCUGGAAACGGGGUCUAAUACCGGAUACCACUCCUGCCUGCAUGGGCGGGGGUUGAAAGCUCCGGCGGUGAAGGAUGAGCCCGCGGCCUAUCAGCUUGUUGGUGGGGUGAUGGCCUACCAAGGCGACGACGGGUAGCCGGCCUGAGAGGGCGACCGGCCACACUGGGACUGAGACACGGCCCAGACUCCUACGGGAGGCAGCAGUGGGGAAUAUUGCACAAUGGGCGAAAGCCUGAUGCAGCGACGCCGCGUGAGGGAUGACGGCCUUCGGGUUGUAAACCUCUUUCAGCAGGGAAGAAGCGAGAGUGACGGUACCUGCAGAAGAAGCGCCGGCUAACUACGUGCCAGCAGCCGCGGUAAUACGUAGGGCGCAAGCGUUGUCCGGAAUUAUUGGGCGUAAAGAGCUCGUAGGCGGCUUGUCGCGUCGGAUGUGAAAGCCCGGGGCUUAACCCCGGGUCUGCAUUCGAUACGGGCAGGCUAGAGUGUGGUAGGGGAGAUCGGAAUUCCUGGUGUAGCGGUGAAAUGCGCAGAUAUCAGGAGGAACACCGGUGGCGAAGGCGGAUCUCUGGGCCAUUACUGACGCUGAGGAGCGAAAGCGUGGGGAGCGAACAGGAUUAGAUACCCUGGUAGUCCACGCCGUAAACGUUGGGAACUAGGUGUUGGCGACAUUCCACGUCGUCGGUGCCGCAGCUAACGCAUUAAGUUCCCCGCCUGG